UACGGAGGGUGCAAGCGUUAUCCGGAUUCACUGGGCGUAAAGCGUGCGCAGGCGGUCUGCUAAGAGAGGUGUGAAAUCCCCGGGCUUAACCUGGGAACUGCGCUUCUAACUGGCAGGCUUGAGUGUGGCAGAGGGGGGUGGAAUUCCACGUGUAGCAGUGAAAUGCGUAGAGAUGUGGAGGAACACCGAUGGCGAAGGCAGCCCCCUGGGCUAACACUGACGCUCAUGCACGAAAGCGUGGGGAGCAAACAGG
rnacentral:rRNA from 1 species